GGCGGUAUGGCUCAGGCAGUAGAGCGGGUGAUCUUGGAAUCCGCAGGUUUCUGGUUCAAUCCCCGGCUCCUCCA